rnacentral:rRNA from 1 species
CAGUCGCCGCGGUAAUACGAAGGGUGCAAGCGUUACUCGGAAUUACUGGGCGUAAAGCGUGUGUAGGUGGUUGUUUAAGUCUGUCGUGAAAGCCCUGGGCUCAACCUGGGAAUUGCGAUGGAUACUGGGCGACUAGAGUGCGGUAGAGGAUAGUGGAAUUUCCGGUGUAGCAGUGAAAUGCGUAGAGAUCGGAAGGAGCAUCUGUGGCGAAGGCGACUAUCUGGGCCAACACUGACACUGAGACACGAAAGCGUGGGGAGCAAACAGGAUUAGAUACCCCCGUAGUCCCUGUCUCUUAUAC